CCUACGGGAGGCAGCAGUGAGGAAUAUUGGUCAAUGGGCGCGAGCCUGAACCAGCCAAGUCGCGUGAGGGAUGACGGUCCUACGGAUUGUAAACCUCUUUUGCCGGGGAGCAAGCGUGCGUUCGUGAACGCGCGUCGAGAGUACCCGGAGAAAAAGCUUCGGCUAACUCCGUGCCAGCAGCCGCGGUAAUACGGGGGAUGCGAGCGUUAUCCGGUUUGAUUGGGUUUAAGGGGUGCGUAGGCGGGGUGCCAAGUCAGCGGUAAAAAUGCGGUGCUCAACACCGUCGGGCCGUUGAAACUGGCGUGCUUGAGUGGGCGAGAAGUAGGCGGAAUGCGUGGUGUAGCGGUGAAAUGCAUAGAGAUCACGCAGAACUCCGAUUGCGAAGGCAGCAUACCGGCGCCCUACUGACGCUGAGGCACGAAAGCGUGGGUAUCGAACAGGAUUAGAUACCCGAGUAGUC
rnacentral:rRNA from 1 species